UACAGAGGGUGCGAGCGUUAAUCGGAAUUACUGGGCGUAAAGCGUGCGUAGACGGUUAUUUAAGUCGGAUGUGAAAGCCCCGGGCUCAACCUGGGAAUUGCAUUCGAGACUGAAUAGCUAGGGUGCGGUAGAGGGAAGCGGAAUUUCCGGUGUAGCGGUGAAAUGCGUAGAUAUCGGAAGGAACAUCAGUGGCGAAAGCGGCUUCCUGGACCAGCACCGACGUCAGGCACGAAAGCGUGGGGAGCAA
rnacentral:rRNA from 1 species